rnacentral:lncRNA from 1 species
AGGUUCUGAGCUUUUCUUUCAGCUAGGUUACAGACUGGGUCCUCUACAAGUCGGCUAGUUCGCUGGGCCAGAAGAAAGGAACUGCGGACACCAUUCAGGAUGCGGAUCGAUGCAGCUUCCUAAUAUCCUUGGACAGACCUGAUUGACAUUUCAGUUUGUCAGCUUCCAGAACUCUACUGUUGACUCAGUUCUAUCUCUGUUUAAUUAGAAGGGAAAGGCUGUUAAACAGAAACACUUAAUUGUGCCCAUA